GAACUGAUCCAGGUGAAGAACGA
rnacentral:piRNA from 1 species